rnacentral:rRNA from 1 species
UACGAAGGGGGCGAGCGUUGUUCGGAUUUACUGGGCGUAAAGGGCGCGUAGGCGGCCCUCCUAGUCGCGUGUGAAAGCCCCGGGCUCAACCUGGGAAUUGCGCGCGAAACGGGGGGGGCUUGAGUUCGGGAGAGGUGAGUGGAAUUCCCAGUGUAGCGGUGAAAUGCGUAGAUAUUGGGAGGAACACCAGUGGCGAAGGCGGCUCACUGGACCGGAACUGACGCUGAGGCGCGAAAGCGUGGGGAGCAAACGGG